UUCCCAAACCCUAGGUUGAAACCCUAGGGUACACACUAGAAACCCUGCGCUCAAUUUUCUUUCUUUUCUUUCUUUUUCUCUCGGAAGGUUUUGGACCUUCACCUUGUGCACAAACUUUCCUCAUGCCCCAUAGUUUCUCUCCUAAAAUUUCUACACACGUCCCACCUUUCUCCUCUUUUUAAAACAACAUCGAACGUGUCUUAUCCGCGUGAGAGGAUAAAGA
rnacentral:lncRNA from 1 species